UACGAAGGGGGCUAGCGUUGCUCGGAAUCACUGGGCGUAAAGCGCACGUAGGCGGAUCGUUAAGUCAGGGGUGAAAUCCUGGAGCUCAACUCCAGAACUGCCCUUGAUACUGGCGACCUUGAGUUCGGGAGAGGUGAGUGGAACUGCGAGUGUAGAGGUGAAAUUCGUAGAUAUUCGCAAGAACACCAGUGGCGAAGGCGGCUCACUGGCCCGAUACUGACGCUGAGGCGCGAAAGCGUGGGGAGCAAACAGG
rnacentral:rRNA from 1 species